UACCCCGGGAAGAUUACCUUCGCCUUCACGAAACGAGCUUUAUUGCCUCCAGGAAACAAUUCAAGGUGCAUUGUGCUUCGUUGGAGUACGUCCUAAUCUCUUAGCAUUAUAGAGUUUUAAUAAUUUGCUUCAAUGGUGAAACUUAAGUCACUGGCGACUCAUCUUCUGACGGCGUUUGAAAAGAUCGUGCUGCACAGUACUUGUACGGUGUCAAUUGACAAUAAAUGUGGAUGUCCAAUAUCAAAGAUGUACACUGUAAAUCAAAGCUGCAUAUCUUGGUCAUCUUGUUAGCUGGAGUUUGGCCACCAUGUUGUAAGAUGUAGUUGUGCUUAAGAGCCCACAAGCAAUACCGCUAGCUAUUUUUACCAUGAGAAAAGCAAUUCACGGGUUUGAUCUAAUAAGAAGCAAGC